rnacentral:rRNA from 1 species
CUACGGGGGGCACCAAUAAGGAAUAUUGCGCAAUGGAGGCAACUCUGACGCAGCCAUGCCGCGUGCAGGAAGAAGGCCUUAUGGGUCGUAAACUGCUUUUAUUUAGGAAUAAACCCCCGAACGUGUUCGGGGCUGAAGGUACUAAACGAAUAAGCACCGGCUAACUCCGUGCCAGCAGCCGCGGUAAUACGGAGGGUGCAAGCGUUAUCCGGAUUUAUUGGGUUUAAAGGGUGCGCAGGCGGGCUACUAAGUCAGUGGUGAAAUCCCGGGGCUCAACUCCGGAACUGCCAUUGAUACUGAUAGUCUUGAGUUUGGUUGAAGUGGGCGGAAUGUAGCAUGUAGCGGUGAAAUGCAUAGAUAUGCUACAGAACACCAAUCGCGAAGGCAGCUCACUAAGCCAAAACUGACGCUCAUGCACGAAAGCGUGGGGAUCAAACAGGAUUAGAUACCCCAGUAGUC